AGUAAGGGGCAAGCCAAGACAGGGAACAGGCUGAGCAUGAAUGGAACUACUAACACAUUUUUCUGUUGUGGUUCUACUCAUGCACUGCCUCUUCCCUGGCUGGUGCUCUUCCUCUUAU
rnacentral:pre_miRNA from 1 species